AUUGAACGCUGGCGGCAGGCUUAACACAUGCAAGUCGAGCGAGCGGCGGACGGGUGAGUAAUGUCUGGGAAACUGCCUGAUGGAGGGGGAUAACUACUGGAAACGGUAGCUAAUACCGCAUACCCUCAGAUGUGCCCAGAUGGGAUUAGCUAGUAGGUGGGGUAAUGGCUCACCUAGGCGACGAUCCCUAGCUGGUCUGAGAGGAUGAUCAGCACAACUGGGACGGAGACACGGUCCAGACUCCUACGGGAGGCAACAGUGGGGAAUAUUGCACAAUGGGCGCAAGCCUGAUGCAGCCAUGCCGCGUGUAUGAAGAAGGCCUUCGGGUUGUAAAGUACUUUCAGCGAGGAGGCGUUACUCGCAGAAGAAGCACCGGCUAACUCCGUGCCAGCCGCCGCGGUAAUAC
rnacentral:rRNA from 1 species